AUACGGAAGGUCCGGGCGUUAUCCGGAUUUAUUGGGUUUAAAGGGAGCGCAGGCGGCCUUUUAAGCGUGACGUGAAAUGUAGGCGCUCGACGUCUGAAUUGCGUCGCGAACUGUUAGGCUUGAGUAGACGGAAUGUCGGCGGAAUUCGUGGUGUAGCGGUGAAAUGCUUAGAUAUCACGAAGAACUCCGAUUGCGAAGGCAGCUGACAGCAGUCUUACUGACGCUCAUGCUGGAAAGUGCGGGUAUCGAGCAGGAUUAGAUACCCUGGUAGUCCGCACGGUAAACGAUGGAUGCCCGCUGUUUGCUUUUGAAAUAAGCGGCCAAGCGAAAGCAUUAAGCAUCCCACCUGGGGAGUACGCCUGCAACGGUGAAAAUCAAAUGAAGUGACGGUG
rnacentral:rRNA from 1 species